rnacentral:lncRNA from 1 species
UGGAACAGUAUUUGCAGUCAGGAAUGUGGUGCUGCAGUCAAGGUCCUUCAUGGCCUUCAUGACUGAAACCAAACAGGUUCAGGGCAGGAAGGAUUCAAGGACGGGUCCACCAACAGCAUUAGGAGAGCAGAUAAAACCUCGGGAAAUCUCUGAAUCCAAGUGGUGGGAUGAGCUUGGUCCCUCUUGUUCCCCAAAACAGAUGAAAAGGCAGGGAAGAGUGUUAAGAUGAAUUUGAUGAAGAAGAACCCACAGCUAGAUGCCUGGGACUAGGAUGAGCUUCAGAGCUGGGACGCAGCAGUGGGGAGGCUUUGCUGGGUGUCCUCUCAUUCUGAAGAUACGAGAGUGUCACGACUAGAUUUGGUGUAGAAACCAGGUCUUGGGACAUACAGAUGUACGUAUUUGCCCACAUUUCCUCACCCAUCUGCUCUGUUCAGGGCUUGUUGUGUUUAAGGGUUGCUGUUUGUUUGAAUACAAAUGAUCUUUAUGACCAGAACAAAAUAUUUUGAUGUGGAAAUCAUCUUUAACUGAAAUUUUAACCAAAGAGAUAAAAAGGUAUUGCCAAAGUAGGUGCAAAACCUCCACUUUUGUUUUUGUAAAAACCAGUCCCAACAUUUCUUUAAUUGAAAGAAUUGAAAAAAGGAAUGUGUGUAUUUAUCCUGACUGCAUAGAUCAUUUUUG